UACGAAGGUGGCAAGCGUUGUUCGGAUUUACUGGGCGUACAGGGAGCGUAGGCGGUUGGAUAAGCCCUCCGUGAAAUCUCCAGGCUUAACCUGGAAAGUGCAGAGGGGACUGUUCAGCUAGAGGAUGGGAGAGGAGCGCGGAAUUCCCGGUGUAGCGGUGAAAUGCGUAGAGAUCGGGAGGAAGGCCGGUGGCGAAGGCGGCGCUCUGGAACGGUACUGACGCUGAGACGCGAAAGCGUGGGGAGCGAACAGG
rnacentral:rRNA from 1 species